UCUCCGUGUUGGUCAGGCUGGCCUCGAACUGCCAACCUCAGGUGAUCCACCCGCCUCGGCCUCCCAAAGUGCUGGGAUUACAGGCGUGAGCCACCGUGCCAGUAAACAUUAUCAAUUUCUUCCUUUUUUUUUUUUCUGAGAUGGAGUCUCACUCUGUCCCCAGGCUGGAGUGCAGUGGUGCGGUCUCGGCUCACUGCAACCUCCACCUCCCGGGUUCAAGUGAUUCUCCUGCCUCAGCCUCCUGAGUAGCUGCGAUUACAGGCACCUGCCACCACGCCCGGCUAAUUUUUGUGUUUUUAGUAGAGACGAGGUUUCACCAUGUUGGCCAGGCUGGUCUCGAACUCCUGACCUCAAGCGAUCCACCCGCCUCGGCCUCCCAAAGCGCUGGGAUUCCAGGCGUGAGCCACCGCGCCAGGCGUAAUUCCUUCCCUUAACCGUAAACGUCUACAGGCGAGGAAUGCUGAACUUUCUGAGAAGGCAGCCAGCAAGUUCCAGCCUCAUUCUCCAGCCGUCAGUCAAAGAUGGAGUCACGGUGGUUCAUUUGCCUCUGACAACGAGUCCUCCCGGACGCCACGUGGCUUGUUCUGAAGCCGGGCCGGAGACACCGUCUGGACCCCACCCUGCUCCCCAGGGCCGCCUCCAAAAGGAUCCCACCCCAGGGAGCCGUGCAAACACCAUAAAUCCUGCUAAUUGCCACGUUCCCAGCAGCCAGAAUCCGUGGUCUGUCUAUAGUGGCCUCACAGUCUCCAGCCAAGAGCUCAAUCUUGCUUCUGGACAAAUAUUACCGAGAAACGUCUGCAAACCCCGGGCGCCCGGCUCCCACAUCACAGGGGCUGCGUCUCAGAAAACAACUUGUUUCUGCCCAUCCACCCCCCACCGCCACCUCCCCGGGCACCUCGCCACACAAGACGCUCUGGGCUUCCCGUAAAAACACCCGUGUCUGUGACCUGCGCGUGGGGUCACCUCCCCGGCCUACAUGCAAGACAGCACACAGGCCAGGACGUCAGGGUGUCGUGAGGGGCCGUCGGAGAACGUCUAAGGGACGUCCCUGCAUUCCUGGCUGGAGGUCCUGCGCCAGCGGCCUCCGUGUGAGAAAACUUUCGCUCUGCAAACUCUCAGAGCCCCCACCUGCUCCCGCCUCCCGUCUGUCCUGGUUCUUGGGACCCCGGAGCCUUCUCUGUCCAGACCUCCCAGGUCCUGACGGGAAUCCGGAUAAACUCAUUGGGGCGAAGGUGUUAACGGCAGGCCCCUGUCUAAUGUAUUUCGCCACCCAGAUAAAAUGAGUGUUUUCACA